rnacentral:lncRNA from 1 species
GUUACAUUUAAAAGAGUAAUAAGGAAGAAAAGCACAGAGGAAUUUUCAUGCAUUCCUUACAUAAUUGGAUUGUUGAAUUGUCUUCUUUUCACAUGGUAUGGGUUACCUAUUGUAAGCUACAAAUGGGAAAAUUUUCCUCUUGUCACAGUUAAUGGAGUUGGAAUUGCUCUUGAGUUAUCUUAUGUUCUCAUUUAUUUCUGGUAUUCUUCGCCCAAAGGAAAGGUAAUUAGUUAACUUACAUGCCAGCUUUUCAUUAGUUUAAAAUCUUUUGCAACCAAAACAAAUUAAGUGUAUGUUUGGUAUCACGUUGGUAUGUUAAAAUCGGGACAACCCAUCAUGAUUUUCCAAACCACACUCUAUAACUUUUGACAAAUCACGAUAGGUCGUCGUGAUUCUGGCACAACUACAUAAUACCAAACAUAUGUUAAGCACCAUCAUCUAUCAACAUGUCUAAAGUUUUCAUCAUUUAUAAUUUGCAGGUGAAGGUGGCGAUGAUCAUGACACCUGUUCUGCUUGUGUUCUGCAUAGUUGCAGCUGUUUCAGCUUUUUCAUUCCAUGAUACAGCUCACAGAAAGUUACUUGUUGGAAGCAUAGGUUUAGGUGUUUCUGUUGCAUUGUAUGGUUCUCCUCUUGUUGCAAUGGUGAGUCAUUUUCUUCUUUCACAUAUUCAAAAUUCAUCACCAAAAAAAAGAGGAACAUAUUGUAAUAAUUACUAUAGAUAAUAACAAUAACAGUGUUAUAUUUGAUUUUUGCAGAAGAAAGUUAUAGAAACAAAGAGUGUUGAAUUCAUGCCACUACCAUUAUCCUUGUGUGCUUUCUCAGCUAGUGCUUGUUGGUUAGUUUAUGGAAUCCUUGUUCGUGAUGUAUUUGUUGCGGUUAGUUUCUAAAUUAAUCACUCUUUAUAAUCACAUUAAUUAAUUAGUAUGUAUUGUUUUUUUAUUAAAUUUUGCUAUUAUGAUUAUUACAGGGUCCAAGUGUGGUUGGAACACCCUUAAGCAUUCUACAGCUUGUGGUUUACUUCAAAUACAGAAAAGCAAGGGUUGUGGAAGAGCAAAAAAUUGGGGACUUGGAAAAGGGUAGCAUAGAGUUAGAGAAGGUGGUGAAAGUGGAAAAGAUUGUCACAAAUUGUGAACAAUGUUGAUGUUGUUGAGGGACAAAAGUCCAAGGGUUUUAGAGACUUAUAUUCAGAUUCCUUCUUUUAUGUGUUUUUCUGUAUACUGUAAUGAAAUAUCCCCCACUAUGGGUGUUGUAAUCAAAUCUUUCUCUUUCUUUCUCUCUCUUUUGAUGAUCAAAACUAAUAGAGUGUUUGGUUUAAUUUUUUGAUUUCUUUUCUUAGCUAGAAAAUGUUUUCCAAAUGCCAAAAGUAAUUUUAACUCUUUAAAAUUAUUUUUGACAAUUUUUUUUGAGAAAUUAAUUUUGCGAACUAAAAGUAAUUCUAAAUGAAGCUACUAUUUGUAGUUUUUUAUUCUAGAAUUGAUUCUAGCACAAAUUCAUAAUUCAAUUUACUUUUACAUGUAUUUAAAUACAAAUCAAUUUCAACUCACUUUUAAUUUUAAUCAGAAUCAACUUUCCAUAAUCGAUACACCCAAAAUCAAUUAUCGCCAAAGCCUACAUUAAUGCCUGCUUUUUCCGUGAUUUUGGAGGGAAAAAAACGUGGAUUACAACCGCGUAUUCAAGCUGAGGCUACGCUCGAAUACCCUCAAAUUUUGUUGAAUAUAAUAUAUUGCUUAAUAUCUAGUCUUAUUUAAUGUUAUAUUAUCUUUAUUAUUUAAUUAUUUCAAAAUAAAUUUUAAUUUUAAAUUAACUAUUCAUACAAGAUAUCGGUAUCUAAACAAGGCACCAAAUAUUUGUUCUCCUCACAGAAGAAAAAAAAAGAUACCAAAUAUUUUUUUCAUGGAAUUAUAUAUGCUACUUUAAAACAAUACUCUCUAACUUCCUCUCAAAAGAAACACUCUCUAAACUUAUCAAAUCACUUUAGAAAGUAGAACGAAUAAUAUCAAUUAUUGUUUAUAAACAUGUUGUUAAUGGGUGAUAUUGAAUUUCCAUGCAUAACAAAUUACAUAAACUUUUUUUUUUUGGUAGAUCUUACAUAAACUUAAAUAUUCACAUUUUUUUUAACAUUAAGUAUUCACUUUAAAAAGUCAUAUUUAUUAGUCCCAUUGGAAUUUGGAUCAUCCUAUCAUUUCUCUUAUGUUGUUUGUGUUGCACUAAUCUCAACCAUUCACCCCACAUGUUUUUCUCUCUCCUUUGUAUUGUUUUUUACUUUGUAAAUCAAUCAACCAUUGGAUUAGGAAAAGGAGGGAUGGCGGGAUAAAAAGGACAUGAGAGGAUCUAAUUCCGUCUCAUUGCAAGUGACUUUUUGCAUAAAAAAUAAUUAAUUAGUUACUUUUUAACUAUCAAUUUUUUAGAGGAAAAAUAUCCAAAUUAUCAUCUCAAAGGUCAAGGUUAUAUCAACUUUUUUUGGUCAUCUGUACUUUUAUUUUAUCCUUAAGAAGUUGUUUUUUUUAGAGGAUGUACAUGAAAAGUUAUGUGUAUAUUAAUCAAAAAUAUCUUUUGAUUUGUGUAAAACAAUAAACUUUUCUUUUUAAAUUCGGUAUCCGAUCCAAGAACGAACUAACAUGAAAGAUUAAUGAUAUUAUCCGCGUGAUCCAUUUAAAAGUAGAGCCAACUAUCUAUAAAAUAACCAAGUGAAAUUGGCACCGUUAAAAGAAUAAGCCUUUGACUGUCUCUAAUUGAAAGCCUAUUUCUCUUUCUGUUGUCUUUUCUAAAAUUGAUUCUAAAUUCUUAGCUAAUUGACUGAAUGAUUUUAUAUGUGGGCAUUUUAGAGUUUUGGUCUUUUUUUUAUAUUCUUAGGGGGUCUAUAAUUCAUAAUGUGCAUGUUGCAGUUGAAAUAUUCAAUGCCAUGAAGUAUGGGUGUUCGGGGAUUGGAUUGGUUCGGUUUUAGGAGGAAAAAUCAUCUGAUCCAAUCACUUUAGUUUUCUUAUUGUUCAUCCAAUUGGUUUGAUUUUGAAAUCAAAUCCAAUCCGAUUAAAAAAAAUCAGUUUGGAUUAGAUUGAUUUUCGGUUUUCAUUGUUGUUUAUUUUUUUAAGAAAAUAUAUUAUUUUAUGACAUUUAAUAAAAAAGUAAGGCCACGAAAAGAUGAAUAAGUAGAAAAUAAAAGCAACAUAGACCAAAUAAAAUAGUAUGUUAAAAAAAAAUAGUUCGUAAAUUAAUAAUAUUUUUUAAAAGAAAGAAAAAAAAGUCAACAUAAUUAUAGAGAAAGUUUAGAUAAUAGUCAAAAAAUUGUAAAUUAAUGAAACAUUUAUAAAAAAUUCAUAUAAUCAUAUAUACAAGUAUAAAUAUUUCGUUUUGGAUUGGAUUGGAUCGGUUUAUACUAAAGGAACCGAAAACCAAUCCAAUCCAUUUAAAAUUGCGGGUUUUUUUUGUUUGAUUUUUUAUUUUUUGGUUUGGUUGCGAUUUACAUUGGAUUGGAUUGGACAUGAACAACCCUAAUAAAGUAUGGGAUGAGGGAUAAGCCAAGAAUGUUACCUAGAGUAUUGAUAUUAGCAAGACAUACAAUAUCAUUGAUUGGAGUUAUUUGAGGACGAUAAAGAUGGAUUUUGAUUGUAAAUGGAUGGAAUGGAAUUUUAUUUGUGUUAACACACGGUUAAUUAUUCCAGCAUUGUUAAUAGCAAUCCAAAUUGGUUUUAUAUCUCCUAAGUGGUUCAAAGGUUUAGAAGAACAUCUUGUAUUUCAGAUUUGCUUUUUACAUAUGAUUGUAUCCUUUUCUUUCGGGCAUUAGAGUCGGAAGCUUGCAAGAGUCUUUACAGUUGCACUGCUUAUGAAUCAAAUUAAGAUUGGACAAUUAAUCUCUUCGAAACUUCCCAAAAAAAAAAAAAAAAAAAAUCAAGGACCAUUACUCCCGCAGAAGAAACUUCUUACGGGACUCCGCCCAUCAAAAUCAAAAAUUCCAUCGUUUAGACCUAUUUUUCAUUUUUUUUUUAAAUUUUUCAUAUUCUUAGAAAAAUCCAAAAAAAAAUUGCAUUUAAUGGUGCUUUACCCCCUGCAAUAUAGGUCAUUUUUGGUUUUCCCCCCCUGUAAAAUAUUUUUUUUGAUUUACCCCUGUAAAAUAUAUAUAUAUUUUUAAUACCCCCUAAUAGGUCAUAAAAAAACGACUUUAUUUUUUUUUUUGCAGAAUUUUUUCGUUUUUUUAUGACCUAUUAGGGGGGUAUUCCAAAAAAAAAAUAUUUACAGAGGAAUAAAUCAAAAAAAUAUUUUACAGGGGGGAAAAUAAAAAAUGACAUAUAUUACAGGGGGUAAAGCACCAUUAACCCUUAGUUUUAUUUGAUUUUUAGAAUUUUUUUGUGCUAUUUUUAUGAUUUUAUUUGACAGGUUUUUAACAUUUUUUUACUUAGUUUUUUUGUUGUUUUUAAAAGCAAAACUCAAAACUGUUGAAUUGUGAGAGAGUCUGAUGGAUGAUUAUACAUAAGAAUUGUCCGGAUUAUAAAAUCUGAAAUAGUAAACAUGAAUCCGAAUUUUAAAAUUUGGAAUGCACAAUACAUCCAUGUCGAACAUUGGCCUGAACACACAGUUGGCCCAAUACAUCCAUGCCGAACUAAGGCCCAAGUAUCCAAAGUCCAAAACAUAACACAAACUCCGUUUUACUACUGCAGACGUUAAGUUUCUUUGGAUUCAAGUUAUUCAUAACGCCUUUUUCUCAUGUACUUGCAAUGAUUACAAUGUCUAAAACUAUGGUUUAGUCUGUUUAGGUCAUGUCAUGAGAAUGAUCUCAAGAGGGGUAUUUAUAGUCUUUCACGGGCUUGUAUUUCUGUGACUUAAGCCCCAAGUAACUUGAGCCCUAAGUCACUUUACAACAUUCUAGGUGCUUCUAGAAGCUUGAUGAGGAGGCACCUUUAGGGGGACGCGCCUAGGGCUUCAGAACCCAUCUGGAGGGCACCUGAGCCCUUCUAGAGGACAUUUGUGACCUUAAGGAUAGAUUAACGGUCCAUCUCACAUUUAAGACCGCACCACCUAUAACCAUCACCCAACGACUACCUCGCCAUCACUCCAAGGAUCUCCACAUCCUAGCAUAUAAAAAAGGUAAAAGAGGAUUUCUAAAGUUCCCUAAGACAAGAUCAAACUAUCCUAAAACUAUUUUUUUUGCUCACUUACAAACUUGAAGGCCAAAGUGUCUUUUCUAUGUAACCCCUUUGCUCACUUACAAAGCUCGUCGGGCGUCGUUCUCCUUAUAACCUUAGAUCAAUAGUUGAUAUUUUAUUCUAUUCUUGAACUAAUAUAUAUUAUUUUGUUGUGUGAAAAUAUUUAUUAUUACUACCUUUUGAUUUUUAUUAAGUUAAUGUCAUGUGUUAUUUUUUUUAGCAAUGUGUAGAAAAAAAAAUUAUUUUAAGAUGUUAGUAGUAUAAUGAGUGAUAAAUAAAUUAAUUUAUUUGCUCAAAAAAAAAUUAAUUAAUUUAUUUGAGUGAUUAAUUAUAUUAGGAGGGGGAGUGCGACAUGACCAGUUCGCUAUUUAGCAUAAGGAGCACGUCGAUGCAUGUAUAGGGUAGGCUCCUUGCUUGGUGAAAACUUUAUGAAGGAAAGAAAUUAAUAUCCAAUAAAUGAAGACUACGAGAGGAGAGUCAAAAAAAUUACUGUAAAUGUGAUUAAGGGAAUUGAUGAGAAAUAAUUCUGAUUGGUUUGGUUAGGGAGAAAUUGAUGGAGAAUUUGAAACAAUUUUAACCCCAAACUGAUCAUUACAUGGCAAUCACGUUCCAUUUCCUCAACUACAUUUAAUCCUAAAAUUGGUAAGAACACCUGAAUGAAAAAGUUCCUUUCAAAAAACACUUGAAUAAAAUCAAACAUCAUAAAAAAAAAUAUUUUUACACCCUCGACGCUAUAAAAAUUAUUUUCAACUUCCUUUUUUUUUUUUUUUUUUUGAGGAUUUUAUAGUGUCGAGGAUGCGAACAUAUUUUUUUAUAAUAUUUGAUUUUAUAGUGCUAGAAUUAGUAGAAAAUAUUUUAUUAUAUUAAUAAAAUGAAAAAAAAAUCAAGUAAAUUUAAAUUCUGGAAUUUUUAUUUAGUCAUGAAAGAGUAAUUAUUUUAAUUUAAGUAUAAGAGUUUAUUUCCUAUCUAUUUUGUGAUGAAUUUAGGUGAGUUUUGAGAAAAAGUAACUUUUUAUAAUGUUCUUUAAUUAUUAUUAUUUUGUUGGUGCUGUGAGUAGCAUGUAAAUGGGAUUGGGGAACUCAAAUUUUCUUACUUUUUAUUUAUUUAUUUACUUCUAUGUAUAAUUUAUAUAAAUUUUGUGCUUCGAAAACUAUUUAAAAAUCAUAUUCGGUUAUGAAUUUAAAUAACAAGUUGAAAUGUUUGUUUCCUUUGGCACUCCUUAUGCUAGGGAUCAAAACUUUUUGUUAUUUUAUCUCAUUUUAGUUUGUUCAAAAAAAAAAACAAGUUAAAAUGUUUUACUUAAAAUAUUUAAAAAUCAUUCCACCAAUGGAUUAUCAAGCAUUAGGUUACACUUUCUAAAAAGUUUCAUGACACUACUUAAAAUUGUGCAAGUUGUGUAUCUAUCACCUACAACAUCUGCAUGAUAAAAUUGUUCAGAAUUAAAUUACAUCGAACUUCUGAAGCACUAUAGAAAUCGUUCCAAAAUUACACUUUAACUAUAGUAUUAUGACCCGUCUAUUAUAGUACUAUGACUGCUUCAAUAUGAUGCGAUGAUCAUUCUAAUAUAGUACAAUGGAUGCUCCAGUAUGAUAAUGUGAACACUCUAAUAUUACGAUAGGAUCACUAAAAAUUUCGAAGGGACAAAAUAUUUCAAAGCACAGUUUUCCGAAGGGAUAAUGGUAUAUUAUGACUACUCUUAAAUAUCUAAGGGAUGGUGGAAAGAUGAACACUCUAAGUAUCGAAAGGGCAAUGCUACGAAGACCAUUCUAACCUAGCUAGUGACAAUUUGAUCAUUCUUUUCUUCAUGCUUAGACCCAAUAUGACAAUUUGUACCUUUUAAUUUAGGGAAAUGCUAACCGGUGCCUCCGGGGCAGUGGUUAAGGAUAUGAAAAAGGAAAUUAUAUAGUAAUUAAUGCAUUGAAAUUGUAAUUAAUUGAUAAUAAAGUCAAAAACAGUUUCCUUUUAUGGUAAUAAUUUCCUUUUAUGGUAUGCUUAACCAAUGCCCCGGAGACACCGGUUAGCAGACCCUCGAUCCUAGUUUGAGAGUUAAGACUCCUUCAAAGACUUAUGAACUAUCAUUGCCUUUAAACCCACUAAAGAUUUAAUGUCGACACCUCACCUGAAAUUUUUUAUGUAACAUGUGAACCACCACUCCUAAAAUUUCUAUCUAUAAUUACCUCAUCAACAUUAAAAAAAUUAAUUGCAUUUAUCUAUGUUUUUUCCUUUCAUAUUUUCACAAUUUUUUGCUUAUGAAAUUUUUGGUUGAGAUUUAUCACUCAAUUGCUUCUGAUGAAAUAUCUUUCUGAUUCAUUUGCGAAUUUUUUUAUAUAAACCGAAUGGAUCUUCAUUGUAGAAUUCAAGUUUACUAGUUGUUUCACUUCCGAAACCCGAACAAAGAAACCAUCAUAAAAUCAAAAAGGACCUUAUCUGUCUCUUUAUUCACAUCAAAAAGAUUGUUGUCCGGAUAAAUUCCAAUUUUGUGGCCAUAUUUCCCAUAACUAAAACACACAACAUGUAAUCCUUCAUAUUCAAAAUUAAGAACACGAUCUAAAGCACCCGCAAUGAAUUUUAAAAUGAGUUUCUUGUCCAAAUAUAUUUCCACACAAGUACGGGAAAAUUGGCUCAUAGAUUGACUAGAAGUUAAGUGGUCCACCUUCUACAUAUUACAUAUGCAUUUUUUUGUAUAAAUGACAUUAAAAUACUUAAAAAGUUUCUUAUAAUUAAGAUAACAUGUAGUAAUAAACUUAAAAUGUGAUCAAAUUUUAAUUAAGAUAUAAUUAUAUUAUAUAACUCAUAAGAUAAAAAUAUUAACAAAAAUGAUAAGGAAAAUUGUGUGUGUGUAUAUAUCAUUGGAUUUUCAAUUAUACUUUCUUAAAAUAAAUAUUUUCUAAUAUAAAAUUUAAAGGUUGGAGCAAAAGAAAUGGUUCAGUUAAACCGAUUUGCACCACACCAGUUUUUGAUGGUUUGUUGCAAAAGCUUAAUUAAUAUGCAUAUAAUUAAUAUAUGAAAGUAUAUAUAUAUAUAUAUAUAGAGAGAGUGUGUGUGUGUUAUAUAGAGAGGUAAAGUUAAUUUGAAAUAGUAAGUUGUUCUCAUAAUCUCUCAACCAUUAGAUUAAUCAAAUGGUUGCGUUUUUUUUUUUUAACCCCUUUUUUCCAUGGAAAUAGGAUAUUAGCAAUCCGAUGUUUGGUCGCAAGGUAGGUAUAGUAUGGCGAAUAAUUGUUCCAUUUAAGAAUCGAAUUCGGGUCAAAUGGAUGAGUUUCGAUUGUGUAAAGGUUCAUACAAUGUUAUGUGGAGAGGAUCCGCAUUCAUAAUGUGGAACAUUUUUACACAGUAGAUGUGUAAAAAUUCAGAAAAUGAUAAUUAGUGUCCUUAAAAUAUUGUUCAAGGAAAUAAAUAUACUAAUAAUGUUUUGGUAAAUGUUGAUUCAACGUUUUAGAAGUUUAAAAAUUAUUUUUUCAAUACAAUUUUUAAAGUUUUAUUGUUCUUAUGUAGUGUUCUUAAGACAUUUGUAAGUAUGAUCAUACCUAUCAAAUUAAAUCUUCCUUUUCAUAAAUUAUGAAACUUGUCAAUUUUUUAAUUGAUUAGAUCAGACAAUACUUAAUCAAAAGAAACACUUGUGUGGUCACAACUUCAAAUAAAAAAAAUUGAACACAAAUGGAACAUGUAAAAACAUAAAAGAAUCAAAUGGUUUUUAUUCUCAUAUGUAUCUCUCCAAAAUGGGAGCCACGUCAUCAUAACAAAUCCUUUUUGUAAUGUUUUAAUAUGCAUUAUUGGUAUCUUAUAAUGCUUUACCAACAGAAAAGGCACUUGAUUUUGAUAAAUUAUAUUAUAAUAUUAUAAAUAAAUAAACACACAGCCAAAAAAUAUGAUAGAUUACAUGAAAUAUCAAGUGUCACGCAAGAAAUUUGUCAAUUAUAUAGCUAUCAUACCCACACACACCAAAGUUUAUGGAAAAUAAUAAUAAUGAUAAGAAAAAAGCUGGAGUUCUGGAUUGGUAAUAUUGAUCAAGUUGAUAAAAAAUAAAAAAAAAAACUUCUCAAGUUGAACCAAAUUUGUGUCCACGUGAUUAUUAACUACGUAGAAAGCACUUCUACCACUUUUUUUUUUUGACUUAUUUUCCUCCCAAGUUUCUAAUUUGUUUUCGUACUUGUUUCAAGCUGGACACUACUAUGUUAAUUAAAUACGCGUCCUACAUAACGACUAUAAAUAGAGCAUGUCCUCAAUGUUCUUCUUCGUGGUACAAUACAAAAUAUUAUCAUUUCUUCUUCUAAGUAGAGAGUAAAAAACAAAUUAAAGAUGUCAAAUACACUUCGUCUGGCUGUUGCUGUUCUUGGUAUUAUUUCGUUUGUUCGUUAUUAAUUUUUUUUCUUAACCCUUCGAUUUUUGAAAUUCGGCCACCAAAGUAAAGAAUGAUAAAGCAUUUUUUUUCGAACUCAAGUUGUUGUUGUGAACCAUUUGAGUCUAACAAUUUCAUUCCUUAAUCCUUAGCUUAAGCUCCUUCAUUAGAAUUAAUUAAUGUUUCCUUGGCUUAAUUUCAUUAGAACCAUACAAAUGACAUUCCUUAGUUUCUUAAACCUUACUUCAUUGGUGUUCUUGCAGGCAAUGCUGCUUCAGUCUCACUUUAUGCGGCGCCAAUGUAAGUUACAUAACAUAAUUAAUUCAUCAUCUACCACUCUUAAUUGGAGAAAAUGAAGUAUUGAAGUCUUUCAUGGUUAAUUUUCAGGGUUACAUUUAAAAGAGUAAUAAGGAAGAAAAGCACCGAGGAAUUUUCAUGCAUUCCUUACAUAAUUGGAUUGUUGAAUUGUCUUCUUUUCACAUGGUAUGGGUUACCUAUUGUAAGCUACAAAUGGGAAAAUUUUCCUCUUGUAACCGUUAAUGGAGUUGGAAUUGCUCUUGAGUUAUCCUAUGUUCUUAUAUACUUCUGGUAUUCUUCGCCUAAAGGAAAGGU